GACGAACGCUGGCGGCGUGCCUAAUACAUGCAAGUCGAGCGCAGGAAACUGACGGAACUCUUCGGAGGGAAGGCAGUGUAAUGAGCGGCGGACGGGUGAGUAACACGUAAGGAACCUGCCUCAAGGAUUGGGAUAACUCCGAGAAAUCGGAGCUAAUACCGGAUAGUUCAACGGACCGCAUGGUCCGCUGAUGAAAGGCGCUUCGGCGUCACCUUGAGAUGGCCUUGCGGUGCAUUAGCUAGUUGGUGGGGUAAUGGCCCACCAAGGCGACGAUGGAUAGCCGACCUGAGAGGGUGAGCGGCAACGCUGGGACUGAGACACGGCCCAGACUCCUACGGGAGGCAGCAGUAGGGAAUCUUCCACAAUGGACGAAAGUCUGAUGGAGCAACGCCGGGUGAGUGAUGAAGGUUUUCGGAUCGUAAAACUCUGUUGUAAGGGAAGAACACGUACGAGAGGGAAUGCUCGUACCUUGACGGUACCUUACGAGAAAGCCACGGCUAACUGCGUGCCAGCAGCCGCGGUAA
rnacentral:rRNA from 1 species